UACCUUUUGUAUAAUGGGUCAGCGACUUACGUUCAGUAGCAAGCUUAACCGAAUAGGGCAGGCGUAGCGAAAGCGAGUCCGAAUAGGGCGUUCAGUUGCUGGGCGUAGACCCGAAACCAGGUGAUCUAUCCAUGGCCAGGAUGAAGGUGCGGUAACACGUACUGGAGGUCCGAACCCACUAACGUUGAAAAGUUAGGGGAUGAGCUGUGGAUAGGGGUGAAAGGCUAAACAAACCUGGAAAUAGCUGGUUCUCUCCGAAAACUAUUUAGGUAGUGCCUCGUGUCUCACCUUCGGGGGUAGAGCACUGUCAUGGUUGGGGGGUCUAUUGCAGAUUACCCCGCCAUAGCAAACUCCGAAUACCGAAGAGUGCAAUCACGGGAGACAGACAUCGGGUGCUAACGUCCGGUGUCAAGAGGGAAACAACCCAGACCGCCAGCUAAGGUCCCCAAAUAUGGCUAAGUGGGAAACGAAGUGGGAAGGCUAAAACAGUCAGGAGGUUGGCUUAGAAGCAGCCACCCUUUAAAGAAAGCGUAAUAGCUCACUGAUCGAGUCGUCCUGCGCGGAAGAUGUAACGGGGCUAAGCCAUAUACCGAAGCUGCGGAUGCGAGCUAGUCUCGCAUGGUAGGAGAGCGUUCCGUAAGCCUGCGAAGGUGCGUUGAAAAGCGUGCUGGAGGUAUCGGAAGUGCGAAUGCUGACAUGAGUAGCGAUAAAGGGGGUGAAAGGCCCCCUCGCCGUAAGCCCAAGGUUUCCUACGCAACGUUCAUCGGCGUAGGGUGAGUCGGCCCCUAAGGCGAGGCAGAAAUGCGUAGCUGAUGGGAAGCAGGUCAAUAUUCCUGCACCGUCGUUAGAUGCGAUGGGGGGACGGAUCGCGGAAGGUUGUCCGGGUGUUGGAAGUCCCGGUCGCUGCAUUGGAGAAGGCGCUUAGGCAAAUCCGGGCGCAGGAUUCAAGGGUGUGGCGCGAGCUCCUUCGGGAGCGAAGCAAUUGGAAGUGGUUCCAAGAAAAGCCUCUAAGCUUCAGUCUAACGAUGACCGUACCGCAAACCGACACAGGUGGGCGAGAUGAGUAUUCUAAGGCGCUUGAGAGAACUCGGGAGAAGGAACUCGGCAAAUUGGUACCGUAACUUCGGGAUAAGGUACGCCCUGGUAGCUUGACUGGCCUGCGCCAGAAGGGUGAAGGGGUUGCAAUAAACUGGUGGCUGCGACUGUUUAAUAAAAACACAGCACUCUGCAAACACGAAAGUGGACGUAUAGGGUGUGACGCCUGCCCGGUGCCGGAAGAUUAAAUGAUGGGGUGCAAGCUCUUGAUUGAAGUCCCGGUAAACGGCGGCCGUAACUAUAACGGUCCUAAGGUAGCGAAAUUCCUUGUCGGGUAAGUUCCGACCUGCACGAAUGGCGUAACGAUGGCCACACUGUCUCCUCCCGAGACUCAGCGAAGUUGAAGUGUUUGUGAUGAUGCAAUCUACCCGCGGCUAGACGGAAAGACCCCAUGAACCUUUACUGUAGCUUUGCAUUGGACUUUGAACCGAUCUGUGUAGGAUAGGUGGGAGGCUAUGAAACCGGAACGCUAGUUUCGGUGGAGCCGUCCUUGAAAUACCACCCUGGUUUGUUUGAGGUUCUAACCUUGGCCCGUGAUCCGGGUCGGGGACAGUGCAUGGUAGGCAGUUUGACUGGGGCGGUCUCCUCCCAAAGCGUAACGGAGGAGUACGAAGGUACGCUAGGUACGGUCGGAAAUCGUGCUGAUAGUGCAAUGGCAUAAGCGUGCUUAACUGCGAGACCGACAAGUCGAGCAGGUGCGAAAGCAGGUCAUAGUGAUCCGGUGGUUCUGUAUGGAAGGGCCAUCGCUCAACGGAUAAAAGGUACUCUGGGGAUAACAGGCUGAUACCGCCCAAGAGUUCAUAUCGACGGCGGUGUUUGGCACCUCGAUGUCGGCUCAUCUCAUCCUGGGGCUGUAGCCGGUCCCAAGGGUAUGGCUGUUCGCCAUUUAAAGAGGUACGUGAGCUGGGUUUAAAACGUCGUGAGACAGUUUGGUCCCUAUCUGCCGUGGGCGUUGGAAGUUUGAAGGGGGCUGCUCCUAGUACGAGAGGACCGGAGUGGACGAACCUCUGGUGUACCGGUUGUGACGCCAGUCGCAUCGCCGGGUAGCUAUGUUCGGAAGAGAUAACCGCUGAAAGCAUCUAAGCGGGAAACUCGCCUUAAGAUGAGACUUCCCCGGGGACUUGAUCCCCUUGAAGGGUCGUUCGAGACCAGGACGUUGAUAGGUCGGGUGUGUAAGCGCAGUAAUGCGUUCAGCUAACCGAUACUAAUUGCCCGUAUGGCUUGAUCCU
rnacentral:rRNA from 1 species